GCCCUGGACAACUUUCAGGAAGACAGUUCUGGUCUGUAGCAAUUAACACAUGGUCAUCCUCAGAAAAAGGUCCUCUCAAUUAUUUCCCAGAGAUACCCAUAACUUAAAAUGCAGGAACCAAGAGAUUUGAGCCUAGACAUUUGGAUGAAAAGCGAUUUCCACCUGGAGAAAGUCACUGCCCUUCUGUGCAGAGUACCAUUGUGUCUUGAAUCCAGCUUGGCCAUAAGGAAAUGGGGCGAGACUUUGUCAUGUAUGUCGCUGAAGUUCAGCUAUGCAAAAAUGUUCACCUAUCCUUGAUCAACCAGUCCAGGAACCAUCAAAGAAGAAAAUGAGAUUCGACUUAGAAGACCUGUUCUUUAUAAACCCCUGCACAGCCCUAAUGAUCAACACCACUUCCAGUGCUCAUAAAUUACUGCUUCAAUAAUUGUUCUGCAAUUCUGCCUAUUCUCAUUGAAUGCUUCGUAUAAUCCCUUUAUUUACUUUGGGCUACGAUUCAUUUUUA
rnacentral:lncRNA from 10 species